rnacentral:rRNA from 1 species
CACGUAGGGUGCGAGCGUUGUCCGGAAUUAUUGGGCGUAAAGAGCUCGUAGGCGGUGUGUCGCGUCGGCCGUGAAAACCUGCAGCUUAACUGUGGGCUUGCGGUCGAUACGGGCAUCACUGGAGUUCGGCAGGGGAGACUGGAAUUCCUGGUGUAGCGGUGAAAUGCGCAGAUAUCAGGAGGAACACCGGUGGCGGAAGGCGGGUCUCUGGAACGGUACUGACGCUGGAGACGCGAAAGCCGUGGGGAGCGAACAGG